rnacentral:rRNA from 1 species
UACGGAGGGGGGCUAGCGUUGUUCGGAAUUACUGGGCGUAAAGCGCACGUAGGCGGCUUUGUAAGUUAGAGGUGAAAGCCCAGGGCUCAACCCUGGAAUUGCCUUUAAGACUGCAUCGCUUGAACAUCGGAGAGGUAAGUGGAAUUCCGAGUGUAGAGGUGAAAUUCGUAGAUAUUGGGAGGAAUACCGGUGGCGAAGGCGGCAUCCUGGACCGGCAUUGACGCUGAGGAGCGAAAGCCAGGGGAGCAAAACGGGG